AGUCUAGCAUGUGCGCGAGUCAUUGGGACUCAAUAAACCUAAAGGCGCAAUGAAAGUGAAAGUCUGUUGACGCGGACUUAGGGAGGAUAGGUGCGUACACUGCGGUGUACAACCUCGCACUCCCGGGGCGUCUCGCACUCAUUGCGAGGUGGGGCGCACCAAGAGCGUACACGCUGGGACCCGAAAGAUGGUGAACUAUGCCUGGUCAGGACGAAGUCAGGGGAAACCCUGAUGGAGGUCCGUAGCGAUUCUGACGUGCAAAUCGAUCGUCGGAACUGGGCUUAGGGGCGAAAGACUAAUCGAACCAUCUAGUAGCUGGUUCCCACCGAAGUUUCCCUCAGGAUAGCUGGCAUUAGAUUAUGGAUGAGUCUCAUCCGGUAAAGCGAAUGAUUAGAGGCAUUGGGGUCGAAACGGCCUCAACCUAUUCUCAAACUUUAAAUGGGUGAGAUCUCCGGCUUGCUCGAUUUAUGAAGCCGGAGAUCGGAUCAAUUAGUGCCAAGUGGGCCACUUUUGGUAAGCAGAACUGGCGCUGUGGGAUGAACCAAACGCAGAGUUAAAGCGCCAAAAUCGACGCUUAUGGGAUACCAUGAAAGGCGUUGGUAACUUAAGACAGCAGGACGGUGGCCAUGGAAGUC
rnacentral:rRNA from 1 species